rnacentral:rRNA from 1 species
CGCUAUAAUGCAGUCGACGCUUUGUGGUUCAACUGAUUUGAAGAGCUUGCUCAGAUAUGACGAUGGACAUUGCAAAGAGUGGCGAACGGGUGAGUAACACGUGGGAAACCUACCUCUUAGCAGGGGAUAACAUUUGGAAACAGAUGCUAAUACCGUAUAACAAUGACAACCGCAUGGUUGUUAUUUAAAAGAUGGUUCUGCUAUCACUAAGAGAUGGUCCCGCGGUGCAUUAGCUAGUUGGUAAGGUAAUGGCUUACCAAGGCGAUGAUGCAUAGCCGAGUUGAGAGACUGAUCGGCCACAAUGGGACUGAGACACGGCCCAUACUCCUACGGGAGGCAGCAGUAGGGAAUCUUCCACAAUGGGCGAAAGCCUGAUGGAGCAACGCCGCGUGUGUGAUGAAGGGUUUCGGCUCGUAAAACACUGUUGUAAGAGAAGAAUGACAUUGAGAGUAACUGUUCAAUGUGUGACGGUAUCUUACCAGAAAGGAACGGCUAAAUACGUGCCAGCAGCCGCGGUAAUACGUAUGUUCCAAGCGUUAUCCGGAUUUAUUGGGCGUAAAGCGAGCGCAGACGGUUAUUUAAGUCUGAAGUGAAAGCCCUCAGCUCAACUGAGGAAUUGCUUUGGAAACUGGAUGACUUGAGUGCAGUAGAGGAAAGUGGAACUCCAUGUGUAGCGGUGAAAUGCGUAGAUAUAUGGAAGAACACCAGUGGCGAAGGCGGCUUUCUGGACUGUAACUGACGUUGAGGCUCGAAAGUGUGGGUAGCAAACAGGAUUAGAUACCCUGGUAGUCCACACCGUAAACGAUGAGUGCUAGGUGUUUGAGGGUUUCCGCCCUUAAGUGCCGCAGCUAACGCAUUAAGCACUCCGCCUGGGGAGUACGACCGCAAGGUUGAAACUCAAAGGAAUUGACGGGGACCCGCACAAGCGGUGGAGCAUGUGGUUUAAUUCGAAGCAACGCGAAGAACCUUACCAGGUCUUGACAUCCCUUGACAACUCCAGAGAUGGAGCGUUCCCUUCGGGGACAAGGUGACAGGUGGUGCAUGGUUGUCGUCAGCUCGUGUCGUGAGAUGUUGGGUUAAGUCCCGCAACGAGCGCAACCCUUAUUACUAGUUGCCAGCAUUCAGUUGGGCACUCUAGUGAGACUGCCGGUGACAAACCGGAGGAAGGUGGGGAUGACGUCAAAUCAUCAUGCCCCUUAUGACCUGGGCUACACACGUGCUACAAUGGCGUAUACAACGAGUUGCCAACCCGCGAGGGUGAGCUAAUCUCUUAAAGUACGUCUCAGUUCGGAUUGUAGGCUGCAACUCGCCUACAUGAAGUCGGAAUCGCUAGUAAUCGCGGAUCAGCACGCCGCGGUGAAUACGUUCCCGGGUCUUGUACACACCGCCCGUCACACCAUGAGAGUUUGUAACACCCAAAGCCGGUGGGGUAACCUUCGGGAGCCAGCCGUCUAAGUGACAUAU